rnacentral:lncRNA from 1 species
UUUACACAUCCCAUGUAUUGAAUAAGAAAGAGGUACAGAGUUGGCUUACAAUCGCCACUUCACACAAUACAUAGAUAUAACAUUACAUCAACCAGAUACAAUCAAGGUCCGACUACGGAACCAAAAUAAAAGAAGACUACCCCUAAUGCAAAAGAUCCCCGAUCGCCCCGACUGGGCUCCACUACUGAUCAACUAAAACGAAAUAACACGACGAACAAGAUCUUCAUCGAGCUCCUCCUUGAGCUCGGUUGAGUCACCUGCACGGUAUCGUCAGCACCUGCAAACUGGUUUUGGAAGUAACUGUGAGCCACGAGGACUCAGCAAUCUCACACCCGCGAGAUCAAGACUAUUUAAGCUUAUGGGUAGGAAAAGGUAGUGAGGUGGAGUUGUAGCAAGCACUAGCAUAUAUGGUGGCUAACUUACGCAAAUGAGAGCGAGAAGAGGAGCAAAGCACGGUCGUGAACUAGAAGUGAUCAAGAAGUGAUCCUGAAACUACUUACCUUCAAGCAUAACUCCAACGCCGUGUUCACUUCCCGGACUCCGCCGAGAAGAGACCAUCACGGCUACACACGUGGUUGAUGCAUUUUAAUUAAGUUAAGUUUCAAGUUCUCUACAACUAAAUAUUAACAAAUUCCCAUGCCCAUAACCGCGGGCACGGCUUUUGAAAGUUCAAAACCCUGCAGGGGUGUCCCAACUUAGCCCAUCACAAGCUCUCACGGUCAAUGAAGGAUAUUCCGUCUCCCAGGAAGACCCGAUCAGACUCGAAAUCACGGUUACAAGACAUUUCGACAAUGGUAAAACAAGAACAGCAAAGCCGCCCGAAUGUGCCGACAAAUCCCGAUAGGAGCUGCACAUAUCUCGUUCUCAGGGCACACCGGAUGAGCAAUCCGUACAACUAAAACCAACCCUCAAGUUUCCCCGAGGCGGCGCUGCAAGGGGCUCUAGUUUGGACCAACACUCAGAGGAGCACUGGCCCUGGGGGUUAAAAUAAAGAUGACCCUCGGGGGCGCGACUCCCAGGGGAAAAGUAGGUGGUGGUGAGGCAACAGGUAAAACCAAGGUUGGGCCUUGCUGGAGGAGUUUUAUUCAAAGCGAACUGUCAAGGGGUUCCCAUUAUAACCCAACCGCGUAAGGAACGCAAAAUCAAGGAACAUAACACCGGUAUGACGGAAACUAGGGCGGCAAGAGUGGAACAAAACACCAGGCAUAAGGCCGAGCCUUCCACCCUUUACCAAGUAUAUAGAUGCAUUAAUUAAACAAUGUAUAUAUAGUGAUAUCCCAACAAUAUCCAUGUUCCAAACAUGGAAGAAACUUAAUCUUCACCUGCAACUAGCAACGCUAUAAGAGGGGCUGAGCAAAGCGGUAACAUAGCCAAACAACGGUUUGCUAGGAAAGGUGGGUUAGGGGCUUGACAUGGCAAUAUGGGAGGCAUGAUAUAGCAAGUGGUAGGUAUCGCGGCAUAGCAAAUAGAGCGAGCAACUAGCAAGCAAAGAUAGAUGUUAUUUCGAGGGUAUGGUCAUCUUGCCUGAGGUCCCGCAAGGAAGAAGAACGGGUCCAUGAAGAAGACAAACGGAC